AUUGAACGCUGGCGGCAGGCCUAACACAUGCAAGUCGAACGAGUGGCGGACGGGUGAGUAAUGUCUGGGAAACUGACUGAUGGAGGGGGAUAAGAACUGGAAACGGGAGAUAAUACCGCAUACGAGCGGAGGUGAACAGAUGGGAUUAGCUAGAAGGUGGGGUAAAGGCUCACCGAGGCGACGAUACCUAGCUGGUCUGAGAGGAUGACCAGCCACACUGGAACUGAGACACGGUCCAGCCUCCUACUGUAGGCAGCAGUGGGGAAUAUUGCACAAUGGGCGCAAGCCUGAUGCAGCCAUGCCGCGUGUAUGAAGAAGGCCUUCGGAUUGUAAAGUACUUUCAUCGGGGAGGCGUUACCCGCAGAAGAAGCACCGGCUAACUCCGUGCCAGCAGCCGCGGUAAUAC
rnacentral:rRNA from 1 species